rnacentral:rRNA from 1 species
AGGAAUAUUGGUCAAUGGGCGUAAGCCUGAACCAGCCAAGUAGCGUGAGGGAAGACUGCCCUAUGGGUUGUAAACCUCUUUUGUGCGGGGAUAAAGUGUGGGACGUGUCCCAUAUUGCAGGUACCGCACGAAUAAGGACCGGCUAAUUCCGUGCCAGCAGCCGCGGUAAUACGGAAGGUCCGGGCGUUAUCCGGAUUUAUUGGGUUUAAAGGGAGCGCAGGCCGUCCUUUAAGCGUGCUGUGAAAUGCCGCGGCUCAACCGUGGCACUGCAGCGCGAACUGGAGGACUUGAGUACGCACGAGGUAGGCGGAAUUCGUGGUGUAGCGGUGAAAUGCUUAGAUAUCACGAAGAACUCCGAUUGCGAAGGCAGCUUACCGGAGCGCAACUGACGCUGAGGCUCGAAAGCGCGGGUAUCGAACAGGAUUAGAUACCCUGGUAGUCCGCGCGGUAAACGAUGGAUGCCCGCCGUUGGGAUUUUGAUUUCAGCGGCCAAGCGAAAGCGUUAAGCAUCCCACCUGGGGAGUACGCCGGCAACGGUGAAACUCAAAGGAAUUGACGGGGGCCCGCACAAGCGGAGGAACAUGUGGUUUAAUUCGAUGAUACGCGAGGAACCUUACCCGGGCUUGAAUUGCAGGAGAACGAUCCAGAGAUGGUGAGGCCCUUCGGGGCUCCUGUGAAGGUGCUGCAUGGUUGUCGUCAGCUCGUGCCGUGAGGUGUCGGCUCAAGUGCCAUAACGAGCGCAACCCCUGUCCAUAGUUGCCAUCAGGUCGUGCUGGGCACUCUGUGGAGACUGCCGCCGUAAGGUGUGAGGAAGGUGGGGAGGACGUCAAAUCAGCACGGCCCUUACGUCCGGGGCUACACACGUGUUACAAUGGGGCAUACAGCGAGUUGGAUGUGCGCAAGUACGUCCGGAUCAAUAAAGUGCCUCUCAGUUCGGACUGGGGUCUGCAACCCGACCCCAGGAAGCUGGAUUCGCUAGUAAUCGCGCAUCAGCCAUGGCGCGGUGAAUACGUUCCCG